AAACUAUCGAAUUAAGAUCCAAUAACACAAUAAAAAGGGAGAAUAUCUCAAGUUUCAAAUAUGCUCCAAAUCAAGAACAAAACUAACACAAGUUCUACAUUACUGAUAUAAGGGCCAAACAAAACAUAAUAAUCUAAUAACCACCCUUCAGAUCAUUGACCACAUCAUAUGGUAUGGGAGUGACAGUCUCAAGAGUAGCCCCCUCAACCAUGAAUCCAGGCUUGGGACCCUGUGGCUGGCGCUUGGUGCUGAUCACCUCACCGCGAGCCUUUGCCUCAGCCUUCAAUUGGUCAUUCUUUAUCUUCCGCAGACGAAAUUCCUCAGUACACCUGGAUGGCAUCACAUGUUCAACACGCACAUGGAUCCUUUUCUUAAUGAUUCUGUGGCCUACCUGCUUGUUGAUCUCGACGCCGAUGGCACGCUUGGUGACGUUCCAGACGCGGCCGGUGCGGCCAUGGU
rnacentral:misc_RNA from 1 species